ACCGGAAAACUCACAGUUCCGGCGAAACCCCGACAAACCCAGUUGAAGUUUCACGGCGGAGAAGAAGUGAAGGUGAGAAAGGAGAGAACUUGAGUUGAAGGGUUGACGUGCAUUGCAGGGAAUGGCAAAAGGGUAUCAUCAGAAGCUUUGGAUGGAGGAUCUUGCACGCCACACAUGCCUCCAAAGAUCCUCCUUCCUUUUGGAAAAUUCCCACCUUGCCUUAUGCGAUAUAAAAGGAUUCUAGCUUUUUUCUGGGAUUCAUCAUGCCUUCUGAGACAAUGGACUUCAAUGGUUUGUCUCCAUCGUUGUAUUCCUCCCGAGAUAUUUUUUCAUCUACCGAGAGGCAGGCUGGAUUCUGGAAAUCAGAUAACCUGCCCAAAUGCUAUGAUUCUGAUCAGAGAAUAAAACCUAGCUUGAAUGUACAAGAAGCAUCCGAUUCUUCAGAUAGCCAUGAGGUUGAUAUAAUUGCCACUCAGUAUGAACGUAACCUCUUCUCAAGUUCCCUGUCAGAGUUGUUUACCAAGAAAUUGAGAUUAUCUGCAAAUAAUGCUUUAUAUGGACAUUCAGUUGAUAAUGUUACAUCCCACUAUGAGGAUGAGAGGCUUUCUGACUCUAUUGAAGAACUUGAGGCUCAAAUUAUUGGAAAUCUACUCCCCAAUGAUGAUGAUUUGCUUUCGGGAAUGUGUGAUGAUCAUGGUCUCAUCACCCAAGGCAGCACUGGUGAUGACAUGGAUGAAGUAGACCUUUUCAGUAGUGUUGGAGGGAUGGAAUUGGGAGAAGAUGAUAACUCAUCUUCUAGACAAAAGAAUUCUGAAAUCUUUGGUGGAGCUUUUAACAGUAAACUAGGGCUGUGCAAUUCUUCAAUUGCUGGUGAACACCCGACUAGAACAUUAUUUGCGAGAAAUAUUAAUAGUUUCCAGACAAGCCAAUCUGGAAACUCAAAAACGCGUAUGAUUCAACAGAUCCCUUCAGAAUUAGAACAAAAAAACUGUAACCUUUUUCUGAAUCAGAACUUCCCUCCUUCGAAAUCGCCAACUAACUUCCCAGGCUUGCAUGGAUCUGGUAGCAUGGAUGGUGGAACAAUUCUAGGUGUUGAUCCUACAAUAUGCACACCAUCCACAAAUACUGCUUUUAGACAUGAGGUCUCUUCAAGCGUUCCUAAUACCUCACCAUCCCUUGUGAGACUUAAAUCAGUUCGAAACCAAUGUGAAAUCACUGAAUCUGGUUCUCCUGGCCAGUUGAAUUUUGGUAUUCAAGCUGCAUCAGCUUUUCAUCCUCAUUCACAUCCAGAAUGUCAUGGUGGUUUAGCUAAUGGUGUUCACCGUAAUCCUCGUGGGGUAGAAAACAUCAAUCUCAAUACACAUGAAAGAAAAGAUAACAUGCAGUUCUCUCCAGGAAACUCAAGUGGAGGCUUCAUGGAACUCAAUGAAUGUGUUUUAAGAUCCUCUGGUAAUGGAAGCUGCCCUCUUCCUGCUCAUCAUUACAAAUGGAGCAACUGUCAGCCUCAUGGAAUGAUGUGGCCAAAUUCACCAUCGUAUUUGGAUGGGAUUUGUGUGGCCCCUGCUGUGCAAAGAUUGCAUGCACUCCCUAGGUCACCAUCACAUAUGAUGAACACUGUUUUACCCAUAAAUAACCAGCAUCUGCGAUCAGCUUCUCUUUGGGACAAAAGACAUGCCUAUGCAGUGGAAUCUCCUGAAGCUUCUGCCUUCCAUCCAGGAUCUCUUGGGGAUAUGCGAUUUUCCAGUAAUACAGCAGCAUAUUGUGUUGACUUUGUUCCUCAUCCCAUCUUUCCCCAUUUUGGGGGAAGCAUUGUUGACCUUCAAAUCCUCCCUAAGAAUCAUGGACUCCAUUUCCAUGACCAAGGGGACCUGAUUUUUCCUGGAAGAAACCACAUGAAUAAUUCAUUUGAUACUUACAAACAGCGUGCGAGAAGCCGUAGAAACAGUGUUUCAAGCUUGGCUGACAUGAAACAAUAUGAUCUUGACAUUGACCACAUAAGAAGGGGGGAGGAUACCCGCACAACACUUAUGAUAAAGAACAUUCCUAACAAGUAUACUUCCAAGAUGCUGCUGGCUGCAAUCGAUGAAUGCCAUAAAGGAACUUAUGAUUUUGUGUAUCUACCAAUUGAUUUCAAAAACAAAUGCAAUGUUGGAUAUGCAUUCAUCAACAUGACUAAUCCCAGCUUGAUUAUACCAUUCUAUCAGGUGUUCAAUGGAAAGAAAUGGGAGAAAUUUAACAGCGAGAAAGUGGCAUCACUAGCAUAUGCUCGCAUACAAGGGAGAGCAGCACUUAUUGCUCACUUCCAAAAUUCAAGCUUGAUGAAUGAGGAUAAGCGCUGCAGGCCCAUCCUGUUCAAUGCUGAUGGCCCUAAUGCUGGUGAUCAGGUUCCUUUCCCAAUGGGAGUUAAUGUUCGCAACAAAUUUGGAAGAGCGAGAAACAACACUCAUGAGGAUAACUUACAAGGGAGCUCUUCUAGUUUUUGAAACUGCCAGCCCCCAUCUGGUGGAGACAGUAUUUCAAAGGAAGCAGACUAAGGAAGUCACAUUUUGUUUCUUCUGCCAUCUCAUCAACUUUAGUGGGCACUAAACUUUAUGAAUCCAAGUAACUUGGUCACAUUAAUGAAGCUGCUCAUAUGAGGAGUAUGCAGUUUAACUGGCGUGGUUCCUACGAGGUCAUAUUUAUAAUGUUUUUCACGUCAUCGAGAGCUUCGCGAAAUGUGCAUGAAGUUGUCUAGCAUUUCUGACAGCACAAAUAUGAAAUUGUGAAGAGGUUUCAAGAGAGGAAGCACAUUUGUGCUAUUGGAAUUGUUGUUGCUAAUGCAGCAAAUGGUGCCUCUAAUAUUGUUUUGACUGAACCUGGAUUCAGUGCCUGUAAGUGGCUCUAAUAAAUUAGUCAACUGAGUUUUUAGCUAUUGCUUGCUUUUAGCCAAUAUGAUGAUGCUGUUGACCUAUUGUAGGUAAAUAGUAUACAUUAUACUACAUCUGUUCCUAUUCAUCUGUCACAGUUUUGAGAGAUUUUUUUAUUCCUAUUUAUCUAUCACUUUCAAAAUUUCAAGUGGGCGUUAAUUAUGUUUUACCAGUCAUACUCUUAACUUAAAAUAUCUGUAUUUUUUACUCCACACCCGAACUAGAUUUUCAUGUCCACAACUUGGUUCAAGCCAAGCUUUAGAGCCCUCCUGCUAUGUAAGUGGUUGCUUUGAAUAACAACUUUCUAUUUCCAAUUAAAAAACAAAAAAGAGGAAAUGACAAUGUCAGAGAUAACCUAAGCAUACAACAAUA